GGUGGCCGGUGGCGAGUCGGUGGCCGGCGACAGUUAAUAAUAAACUGUUUAAAAAAAAUAUUUUCUAUUGUUUUUAUUUAUUUUCGUACAACACCCAUUUCCUUAGUUAUUAGAGCUUACCUAAAACAAAAAAGGAGUAAAAUAUUUAAAUAGAGUAUAAGUUAUUAGUUAUAAAGGGUUAUUAUACAACCAAUACCCAUAAUGGUACAAUGGUAGAUAGGUACCCACUGUACAUUUCAAAACACUAACACAGAAUAAAAAAAAACAAAAAGAUGAUAUUUACAUUCAAAUAAGCAGAGAACAAGAAGAAGGCUACAAUUUUGUUAAAUUUAAUAUGAUGUAUAAUAAAGCAAAAAACACUAUUAUAGACGUUAUUGCCAAAAUAGAACAAAUUAAGGACACCGAAAACAUAACAUCCGUACACGGUGAUCACUAUGAGAAAAAAGAAAUAAUUCUCAUAGAUGAAAACAACAGAAAAAUAACUUUAAAUUUAUGGAAUGAAAAAAUCAAUGAAUUCAAAGGAAAAAAAGAGGAUAUUAUUGCAAUUAAAAAUGCCAAAAUUGGAGAGUAUAAUUACACUAAAAAUUUAACUUAAAUCAAUUCAUCUAGAAUGUCGAUAAAUCCCGGCGUUCCAGAAGCGACAAAAAUAAGAGAAGAGUGUCUAGAACGAAAUAAAGACAUUGAAGAAUUAGAUGAACCAAUGUGGCAAUGUAUACAAAAAUUGGAAAGAUUUUAAAUCUGGAAAAUCAAACAGUAUUAAAUGUCAUUGCAGUCGUCGAAAAUAUCGGAGACACUGCUACAGUAUUUGCAAAAGACGGAAGGGAAUUUAAAAAAAAAGAGAUACAACUAAUUGAUAACAGUGAUGAGGCAAGUGUAAUUCAGAAUAAAAAAUCACAAUAAAUAUUAAUAAUCCUCAUGUUCUAGAUUAAACUGACUUUAUGGAAU